rnacentral:rRNA from 1 species
UACGAAGGGGGCUAGCGUUGUUCGGAAUUACUGGGCGUAAAGCGCGCGCAGGCGGCUUCUCAAGUCAGUGGUGAAAGCCCGGAGCUCAACUUCGGAACUGCCAUUGAAACUGUGGAGCUUGAGGACGAGAGAGGUGAGUGGAAUUCCCAGUGUAGAGGUGAAAUUCGUAGAUAUUGGGAAGAACACCGGUGGCGAAGGCGGCUCACUGGCUCGUUUCUGACGCUCAGGCGCGACAGCGUGGGGAUCAAAC